rnacentral:pre_miRNA from 1 species
GCCUCCUUGUUAGGGGCUGCGGGGAGCGAUAAUUGGGGUGGUUAGCUGGAGAACAUCUGCGAGGGUCCUCACAUGAUGAACAGACCUGAAGACCCAGAGAUAGUCGUUAUCCAGUGAGAUGAGGGGGC